UGGGGAAUAUUGCACAAUGGGCGCAAGCCUGAUGCAGCCAUGCCGCGUGUAUGAAGAAGGCCUUCGGGUUGUAAAGUACUUUCAGUCGGGAGGAAGGUGGUAAGGUUAAUAACCUUGGCAAUUGACGUUACCGACAGAAGAAGCACCGGCUAACUCCGUGCCAGCAGCCGCGGUAAUACGGAGGGUGCAAGCGUUAAUCGGAAUUACUGGGCGUAAAGCGAGCGCAGGCGGUUUCUUAAGUCUGAUGUGAAAGCCCCCGGCUCAACCGGGGAGGGUCAUUGGAAACUGGGAGACUUGAGUGCAGAAGAGGAGAGUGGAAUUCCAUGUGUAGCGGUGAAAUGCGUAGAUAUAUGGAGGAACACCAGUGGCGAAGGCGGCUCUCUGGUCUGUAACUGACGCUGAGGCUCGAAAGCGUGGGGAGCAAACAGG
rnacentral:rRNA from 1 species